AACUAAUUUAUAUAAUAUAAUAAUUAUAUUUGACUUCCAAUCAAAAAAUCUAGACAACUAGAUUUUAAUUA